GAAAUGCGAUAAGUAAUGUGAAUUGCAGAAUUCAGUGAAUCAUCGAAUCUUUGAACGCACCUUGCGCUCCUUGGUAUUCCGAGGAGCAUGCCUGUUUGAGUGUCAUGAAAUCUUCAACCUACAAGCUUUUUAAUAAUGGCUUGUAGGCUUGGACUUGGAGGCUUGUCGGYCUUUAUYGRUCGGCUCCUCUCAAACGCAUUAGCUUGGUUCCUUUGCGGAUCGGCUGUCGGUGUGAUAAUGUCUACGCCGCGACCGUGACGCGUUUGGCGAGCUUCUAAUCGUCUCGCUUUUGGGACAACUUUUAUGACCUCUGACCUCAAAUCAGGUAGACUACCCGCUGAACUUAA
rnacentral:rRNA from 1 species